rnacentral:tRNA from 1 species
GUCGCGGUAGCUUAGCGGUGUAGCUGCAGUUGCAAUCCUGUUGUCGCCAGUUCAAAUCUGGCCCGCGACACCA